rnacentral:lncRNA from 1 species
AUAAGAUCUAAAGAGGAAAAUCUACACAAGAUUGUGUGUGGGCCAGAAAGGCCGCCGUGAAUGGUGAGAAGGUGAGUCAAUCCAUCCAUCCUAAGUCAAAGAAUCCAACCAGUUCCAUGGAGGAGGCACAGAGGAAAAGAGGAAGGAACAAAGUGGAAGAAGAAGAGAAUGAAGAGGUGGGAAGAGAUGGGCAAGGAUGGGAGAGCAGAAGCCAAUCAAGAGAAGAAGGAAAAGCAAACAGAAGAGAGUAGAAAGGAAUGGGGGCCAGAAACAAGCAGGAAUCAUGAAGAGUGGGGAAAGGAGAGACUUUGGAAAUUCAAACAAGUAGAGGAGUGAAAAAAAUAGUGAUGAAAGCUGUAGGUGGCCCACCAGGUGUCAACAACUGUAGAGUUCCAUCAAGAGUCAUCAUUUUACAGUUACAAGUCGGAGGGGCCUUCACAGAUCCGUCAGGCUCAACACUGCCUCCUUAGUGAGCCUGUGAACCACCCAAGACGGCUGGUCAUCAGUGUCAUCCUCUUCCUUUUCCGGACAACUAUCUUUAAAAGAAAAAAAAAGAGUGUCUUUGAAUGUAUCCAUUUUAUCCCCAAAUAAUCUUGUUUAAUAAAUUCCUUAUUAGGCCAAAUCCAAUGUGCUGAAAUAUCUGCCAAGCAUGUCAUUCUACACAAAAGGGAUUUGCAAAUAGCCAGUAGUUGGCGUGAAGAAAGGACAUGUGAAAGCGCUGGGUGUGGAAUUUCCCAUCCUCGGCCGGAGGUCUACUACAGCUCGCUGUUUGCAGAUCUGGGCUGAGCUAUGCAUCACAUUGUUCAUGAAAGAAAAAGCAACUGCUCUCCCCAGUGCCCCUUCCCCGCUCCACAUGGCUGCGAUCAGCAGCCCCAAGACCCUAAUUGCCACAGCCUAUUAGAAAUAAUGAGACUUACAUGGCAGAAGCCAAGGGUAAAAGCGACAUCUCGCAACACGAAAGGUUAAUAUCAACAUAUACAGCUAGUGAGUGCAAAGGGCACCUCAGUUGGUGGCUCAUUAUGGCGGGCUGACCCAUAGGGAAAGUGUCAUUCUGCAGAGAGGCCUUUCUCAGGAUGUGGCAGCAAAAGUUACAAAAGAUAAGGACUUGCCUGUGAAACGCACUCAACUAAUGAGAGCUGAAGAUUGUUUGAAAUAUCCCGAUGACCUCACAGAUGGGGGAUGCUGAUUAAGAUGGCUACAGGAGGCUCCUUUCUUGUCUGACAGCCCAUUGAGAAGCUUUGGUGAGAUGUGACUAACAGGCCGUGAAGGUGUCUCCAUCUUCUCUGACAUGGUCCAUGCUUUGGGCAAAACAAACAUGAAAAAUAAGUCUGAACUGACACACAUGUUUGAAUUUAGUUUUCAGAGCCAUAUUUGGGGGAAGGAGCACUGGUGGGGCCGUCAGCGAUGAUUCCUUUAUGGUAAAGGGUGUUCGUGACUACUUGCGUGACUAAUCGCAUGACUGCGCUGGGGGGUGAGCCAACGGCAAAUUGAGGUCUUGAACACUUGACAAAACAACCCCUGUUCUGUGGGUGAAAUUCUAUAGAGCUUCAUGCGUAAUUAAAUGAAAGUUUCACAAGAGUCUACACCUCAAUCAUUUAAUGCCGAUAUGUAGCACAAAGGAAGGAUUUUUGCCACAUCAAAAUACAUCCAUGAAACAAUGGAGAAAUGUCCCAAGUUUUCAGAGUCAGAGAUACUCACAGAAGAAACCCUGGAGUUCUCUUGACCUUCAUUUAGUGCCUGGGACUCUGA